rnacentral:tRNA from 1 species
AAGAUAUUAAGUUAACAAGACUAUGGCACUUCAAAUGCUAAAGUGAACGGGAUGUUUAUAUCUUG